UACGUAGGGGGCAAGCGUUGUCCGGAAUCAUUGGGCGUAAAGAGCGUGUAGGCGGCCAGAUAAGUCCGCUGUGAAAUCUCGAGGCUCAACUUCGAGCUGUCGGUGGAAACUGUCUGGCUAGAGUCCGGAAGAGGAGAAUGGAAUUCCUGGUGUAGCGGUGAAAUGCGCAGAUAUCGAGAGGAACACCUGCGGCGAAGGCGGGUUGCUGGGCCGACACUGACGCUGAGGCGCGAAAGCGUGGGGAGCAAACAGG
rnacentral:rRNA from 1 species